rnacentral:rRNA from 1 species
UGCGCAGGUGGCCAAGUGUGUUAGGCGUGAAAGCCCGGGGCUUAACCCCGGAAUUGCACCUAAAACUACUUGGCUAGAGCAUUGGAGAGGGGAGCAGAAUUCAUGGUGUAGCAGUGAAAUGCGUAGAUAUCAUGAGGAAUACCAGAGGCGAAGGCGGCUCCCUGGACAAUUGCUGACACUCAGGCACGAAAGCGUGGGAGCAAAAG